rnacentral:lncRNA from 1 species
AAUAAAAUAAAAUACAAAGAAAAAUAAAAGAAAUUCUAAAUGAAAAAGGAGAGUAGACGGAGAAAAUGAAUGUGUAUGGAAGAAAUAAAUGUGGAUGAAGGAGAUGAGAAAAAUGAUAUGGAUGUAAGUAUGAGUAUAUAGAAGAUGAGUGUAAUACAGAUGAAGAAUAUGAGUAUGGAUGAAGAAGAUAAGUGUGAUCGAAAGAGGUGAGUAUAAAAAAAAGAUGAGUAUUUAAGAAUGAGAUGAAUGUGAAAAGACUUAUAUAAACAAUAAAUUAAUUAUGUUGGAUUACAACAAUGGUCUCUGAAUAUAGAUAAUUAUAUAGAUAUAAAAAAAAAAUCUAGAAAACCUAUCUAUGUCAGUUCCUAUUCCACCCAAACAUCUACAUCUAACACUUUACACUUGAUUCAUUUAUUUUU